rnacentral:rRNA from 1 species
UGAGUUUGAUCCUGGCUCAGAUUGAACGCUGGCGGCGUGCUUAACACAUGCAAGUCGAGCGAGAAAGCUCUCUUCGGAGAGUGAGUAGAGCGGCGCACGGGUGAGUAACGCGUGGGUAAUCUGCCCUGAAGAUCGGGAUAACAGUUGGAAACGACUGCUAAUACCGGAUGUCCUGCAUAUUUAACUUUAUGUGGAGAAGAUGGCCUCUAUUUAUAAGCUAUUGCUUCAGGAUGAGCCCGCGUCUCAUUAGAUUGUUGGUGGGGUAACGGCCUACCAAGUCGACGAUGAGUAGCUGGUCUGAGAGGAUGAUCAGCCACACUGGGACUGAAACACGGCCCAGACUCCUACGGGAGGCAGCAGUGGGGAAUAUUGCGCAAUGGGGGAAACCCUGACGCAGCGACGCCGCGUGCGGGAAGAAGGCUUUCGGGUCGUAAACCGCUGUCAGGAGGGAAGAAACUGUUUAGUCAUAAUACGGCUAUUCACUGACGGUACCUCCAGAGGAAGCACCGGCUAACUCCGUGCCAGCAGCCGCGGUAAUACGGAGGGUGCGAGCGUUAAUCGGAAUCA